rnacentral:rRNA from 1 species
UACAGAGGGGGCAAGCGUUGUUCGGAAUUACUGGGCGUAAAGGGCGCGUAGGCGGCCUGUUAAGUCGAACGUGAAAUCCCUGGGCUCAACCCAGGAACUGCGUCCGAUACUGGCAGGCUUGAAUUCGGGAGAGGGAUGCGGAAUUCCAGGUGUAGCGGUGAAAUGCGUAGAUAUCUGGAGGAACACCGGUGGCGAAGGCGGGUCUCUGGGCAGUAACUGACGCUGAGGAGCGAAAGCGUGGGGAGCGAACAGG